CCUACGGGUGGCAGCAGUGAGGAAUAUUGGUCAAUGGGCGAGAGCCUGAACCAGCCAAGUCGCGUGAAGGAGGAAGGUUCAGUGGUUUGUAAACCUCUUUUGUAUGGGAAUAAAGUGUGGCACGUGUUCCCUGUUGUGUGUACCUUAUGAAUAAGCAUCGGCUAACUCCGUGCCAGCAGCCGCGGUAAUACGGAGGAUGCGAGCGUUAUCCGGAUUUAUUGGGUUUAAAGGGUGCGUAGGUGGUUCGUUAAGUCAGCGGUUAAAGUUUGGGGCUCAACCCUGAAACUGCCGUUGAAACUGGUAGACUAGAGUAUAUUUGAGGUAGGCGGAAUGCGUGGUGUAGCGGUGAAAUGCAUAGAUAUCACGCAGAACUCCGAUUGCGAAGGCAGCUUAC
rnacentral:rRNA from 1 species